rnacentral:lncRNA from 1 species
GGAGAAGCCUGAGAAGCAGUAGAUUGUCUGAAGCUCCAACGAGAGGCAGCAGGAACUGGGGCUGGAACCACAGAUUUGAGAGCUGGUAACUACCCACCUUCUAUUGCAUGCCUGGCACAUGCUAACCAAGCUUUACCUCUGAGGAGCUCACAGACCAACAUUCCUCUGGAGGAGGGAGCAGGUUUUGAUGAAACACACCCACCAAGAAAAAUGCUGUGACAGGUUGUGAGGUUGGAAGUUGAAACAGAAGCAUCAAGUUCUAAUAGAUCCUGCCCUGUUAAGUGAAGUCCCCGGAACAAGAUGCCGUUUCAAGGGAAACGGAUCUGGGCUUUUAAAACUCUCUACUCACGAUGAGAAUAUAAAAAGAUGGGUCCGGGAGAACAAAGGGAGAGAUUUUGGGGGAUGAUUCCUUGGGAAGAAGUGUACCCAGCCCUUUUGCUAGCAUGUUGGGGGGGCAUGAAGAGAUCCCUCCUCCACCUCA